rnacentral:tRNA from 1 species
GGGCCCAUAGCUCAGCGGUUAGAGCAGUCGGCUCAUAACCGAAAGGUCCCAGGUUCAAAUCCUGGUGGGCCCACCA